GGGUUGUGAGGUUAAGCGACUAAGCGUACACGGUGGAUGCCCUGGCAGUCAGAGGCGAUGAAGGACGUGCUAAUCUGCGAAAAGCGCCGGCGAGGUGAUAUGAACCCUUGACCCGGCGAUGUCCGAAUGGGGAAACCCAGUGCAAUCCGUUGCACUAUCGUUAACUGAAUACAUAGGUUAACGAGGCGAACCGGGGGAACUGAAACAUCUAAGUACCCCGAGGAAAAGAAAUCAACCGAGAUUCCCCCAGUAGCGGCGAGCGAACGGGGAGCAGCCCGGAGUCUGAAUCAGCUUGUGUGUUAGUGGAACGGUCUGGAAAGUCCGACGGUACAGGGUGAUAGUCCCGUACACGAAAGCACACAUGCUGUGAACUCGAAGAGUAGGGCGGGACACGUGGUAUCCUGUCUGAAUAUGGGGGGACCAUCCUCCAAGGCUAAAUACUCCUGACUGACCGAUAGUGAACCAGUACCGUGAGGGAAAGGCGAAAAGAACCCCGGCGAGGGGAGUGAAAAAGAACCUGAAACCGUGUACGUACAAGCAGUGGGAGCCUCUUUAUGGGGUGACUGCGUACCUUUUGUAUAAUGGGUCAGCGACUUAUAUUCUGUAGCAAGGUUAACCGUAUAGGGGAGCCGAAGGGAAACCGAGUCUUAACUGGGCGUUAAGUUGCAGGGUAUAGACCCGAAACCCGGUGAUCUAGCCAUGGGCAGGUUGAAGGUUGGGUAACACUAACUGGAGGACCGAACCGACUAAUGUUGAAAAAUUAGCGGAUGACCUGUGGCUGGGGGUGAAAGGCCAAUCAAACCGGGAGAUAGCUGGUUCUCCCCGAAAGCUAUUUAGGUAGCGCCUCGUGAACUCAUCUUCGGGGGUAGAGCACUGUUUCGGCUAGGGGGCCAUCCCGGCUUACCAACCCGAUGCAAACUACGAAUACCGAAGAAUGUUAUCACGGGAGACACACGGCGGGUGCUAACGUCCGUCGUGAAGAGGGAAACAACCCAGACCGCCAGCUAAGGUCCCAAAGUCAUGGUUAAGUGGGAAACGAUGUGGGAAGGCACAGACAGCCAGGAUGUUGGCUUAGAAGCAGCCAUCAUUUAAAGAAAGCGUAAUAGCUCACUGGUCGAGUCGGCCUGCGCGGAAGAUGUAACGGGGCUAAACCAUGCACCGAAGCUGCGGCAGCGACGCUUAUGCGUUGUUGGGUAGGGGAGCGUUCUGUAAGCCGUUGAAGGUGUGCUGUGAGGCAUGCUGGAGGUAUCAGAAGUGCGAAUGCUGACAUAAGUAACGAUAAAGCGGGUGAAAAGCCCGCUCGCCGGAAGACCAAGGGUUCCUGUCCAACGUUAAUCGGGGCAGGGUGAGUCGACCCCUAAGGCGAGGCCGAAAGGCGUAGUCGAUGGGAAACAGGUUAAUAUUCCUGUACUUGGUGUUACUGCGAAGGGGGGACGGAGAAGGCUAUGUCAGCCGGGCGACGGUUGUCCCGGUUUAAGCAUGUAGGCGGAGGUUCCAGGUAAAUCCGGUACCUUAUUAACGCUGAGGUGUGAUGACGAGGCACUACGGUGCUGAAGUGAUAAAUGCCCUGCUUCCAGGAAAAGCCUCUAAGCAUCAGGUAACACGAAAUCGUACCCCAAACCGACACAGGUGGUCAGGUAGAGAAUACCAAGGCGCUUGAGAGAACUCGGGUGAAGGAACUAGGCAAAAUGGUGCCGUAACUUCGGGAGAAGGCACGCUGAUGUGUAGGUGAAGCCCCUGCGGGUGGAGCUGAAAUCAGUCGAAGAUACCAGCUGGCUGCAACUGUUUAUUAAAAACACAGCACUGUGCAAACACGAAAGUGGACGUAUACGGUGUGACGCCUGCCCGGUGCCGGAAGGUUAAUUGAUGGGGUUAGCGGCAACGCGAAGCUCUUGAUCGAAGCCCCGGUAAACGGCGGCCGUAACUAUAACGGUCCUAAGGUAGCGAAAUUCCUUGUCGGGUAAGUUCCGACCUGCACGAAUGGCGUAAUGAUGGCCAGGCUGUCUCCACCCGAGACUCAGUGAAAUUGAACUCGCUGUGAAGAUGCAGUGUACCCGCGGCAAGACGGAAAGACCCCGUGAACCUUUACUAUAGCUUGACACUGAACACUGGUCCUUGAUGUGUAGGAUAGGUGGGAGGCUUUGAAGCGUGGACGCCAGUCUGCGUGGAGCCAACCUUGAAAUACCACCCUUUAAUGGCUGGUGUUCUAACGUGGACCCGUAAUCCGGGUUGCGGACAGUGUCUGGUGGGUAGUUUGACUGGGGCGGUCUCCUCCCAAAGAGUAACGGAGGAGCACGAAGGUUGGCUAAUCCUGGUCGGACAUCAGGAGGUUAGUGCAAUGGCAUAAGCCAGCUUGACUGCGAGCGUGACGGCGCGAGCAGGUGCGAAAGCAGGUCAUAGUGAUCCGGUGGUUCUGAAUGGAAGGGCCAUCGCUCAACGGAUAAAAGGUACUCCGGGGAUAACAGGCUGAUACCGCCCAAGAGUUCAUAUCGACGGCGGUGUUUGGCACCUCGAUGUCGGCUCAUCACAUCCUGGGGCUGAAGUAGGUCCCAAGGGUAUGGCUGUUCGCCAUUUAAAGUGGUACGCGAGCUGGGUUUAGAACGUCGUGAGACAGUUCGGUCCCUAUCUGCCGUGGGCGCUGGAGAAUUGAGGGGGGCUGCUCCUAGUACGAGAGGACCGGAGUGGACGCAUCACUGGUGUUCGGGUUGUCAUGCCAAUGGCACUGCCCGGUAGCUAAAUGCGGAAGAGAUAAGUGCUGAAAGCAUCUAAGCACGAAACUUGCCCCGAGAUGAGUUCUCCCUGAGACUUUAAGUCUCCUGAAGGAACGUUGAAGACGACGACGUUGAUAGGUCGGGUGUGUAAGCGCAGCGAUGCGUUGAGCUAACCGAUACUAAUGAACCGUGAGGCUUAACCUUACAACGCCGAAGGUGUUU
rnacentral:rRNA from 1 species